CCAACGGCCUGCUGUACGUGAUUGGCGGCGACCAGAACCGACAGCUGAGCGACUUCUACCGCGCAGAGAUCACCGUUUCUGCUGUCGAGGUGUACGACCCGCUGUCGGGCGAGUGGAGCGACUCGACGCCGCUGCCCGAGUCGCGCAGCGAGGCGGGCGCCGUCGUCAUAUGACCGCGGCCGCCGCCUCGCCUCGCUGACGUCGUCAGCGCUCGUCCAGUGGUGGCCUGAUGCCGACGUCGACGUGCGACCAGUGACGUCAUUGGCGCUGCGACGUCAUCGCAAGGCCAAGCUGCGGGCCAAUGGUGGAGACCGGUGGACACUCGGGUCUGGUGCGACUCAGAGCCGUCGAAUAUUACGGGAUUGGGUUCGGCGGCUGCGCUCGUGUGCAGCUCUGUACCGCGAGAUCUAGCCUGGAGAAACUUAAGCUUCGCAAGGCUGAAAGUAGUUUUAGCCCUGGUUUGUGAUUGGUGUUGCGCAGUAUGCUGCUGGCGAGGGCGACUGUCGUAGCCGUGUGGUAGUGGUCUGAGCUUUACGACGUGCUUCGCUGCCAGUCGGUUGCUUGUCCCGCGUGUGCGCCUCCUGACCGUGCCACGUGGGUCGGUGUUUUUGCUACCGCGUGUCGUCAUCCUGCGUCGUACGGCUUGCUGGCUGUGUGGCGGGUCCCUAGAGGCACCUAGACGGGACCCUGCGCCGCGGGCGGGCCCCUGCCGCGCCGUCGGCUGCACCGCCCCAGUGGCUGUGUCCCGUCCGUGCUUUGGUGUGGUGGCGGCGGUGGAAUCGGCUGGCGUCGGGCACAGAGGCGGUCCCGGAGAUCCACGAGGGCGGUGCCUUUCUCGGUGUAGAGAUAUGCGUGGUGCGUGAUUGCCACUCUUCGCUCUGUUGGACCUCCUUGCGUGCGAUGUUGUUUGGGGGCUACUGUAUGUCAAAGCUGCACCUUGUAACAGCGAGCUUUCAGUUACUGUCAUCGCCUCGUCUUCAGGCUACGGAUGUGCGCAGAGGACCGGGGUUUCGUCGAUAUAUGUUUACUGUACUUGUUACAAUGACUAUGAUUAGACAUGUAGAAUUGCAGGGUGUGGGCAGACCUUAUCUGGCGUCGGCAGGCUACAUUAUUAUUGAUAGCACGCCGCCUUUGAGUAGAGAUCUGUCACUUAUUGCUGGUCCACUUUACUUACGUUGAGGGCACACUGUUCGAGAAGGCAAAGGCAGUCACGUACGCGUGCUGGUGCCUUGAGACACUCCCUCGCGCCUGCUGCAGGAUCACGGAUAUGAACGGAAACUAACGCGAAUCUGCGCUGAGCUUUGUUUUGUUUGCAAAUGCGCGUUUUCCAACUGUAGGAUUGACAACGUGCAUUAGCUACAUGACUGCAUGUUAAACAUCUAUCAAAAGCCGUUCCUACCCCCUGCCCAAUUUCCAUGUUCGUACGCAUCCACUCGCGUGUUAGUUUGUUCUGUGAACAAGAUAGUGAGGUGGAAAGAGCGCUUACUAAGCUUAGCACAAAUGGUCCGACUGUGAAGCUGUAGAACAAACAUUGGGUGUGUUGUGUUAUCUGGUGAUCUGACCUUACGGUUGGAUCGCUCCGUCGCUAGGCGAGAGGCUCCACCAGAGACCUCACGUUUUUUACCGCAUUGGUUAUAUCUCGCCCCGUGAUCGUGCUUGUUUUCGGGUGUUGCGGGCCGGCCGCAUGGGCUCGUGUGCAUCGUCGCCAGAGCCAUGCGUGUGAGGAAGAACAGGGGUGAAGGUCACCCUGGACGUUCGGCCGGGCUCGAUGCGCACCUUUAGUUGUUGUGAUAUGUCCACCAAAUAUAUUAGUUGAUCCGUC